rnacentral:rRNA from 1 species
ACGCUGGCGGCGUGCCUAAUACAUGCAAGUCGAACGCUUCUUUUUCACCGAACUUCGGUUCAUCGAAAAAGAGGAGUGGUGAACGGGUGAGUAACACGUGGGUAACCUGCCCAUCAGAAGGGGAUAACACUUGGAAACAGGUGCUAAUACCGUAUAAUGCUUUUUCUCGCAUGAGAGCAAGCUGAAAGGCGCUUUUGCGUCACUGAUGGAUGGACCCGCGGUGCAUUAGCUAGUUGGUGAGGUAACGGCUCACCAAGGCCACGAUGCAUAGCCGACCUGAGAGGGUGAUCGGCCACACUGGGACUGAGACACGGCCCAGACUCCUACGGGAGGCAGCAGUAGGGAAUCUUCGGCAAUGGACGAAAGUCUGACCGAGCAACGCCGCGUGAGUGAAGAAGGUUUUCGGAUCGUAAAACUCUGUUGUUAGAGAAGAACAAG